AUACGUAGGGAGCGAGCGUUGUCCGGAAUUACUGGGUGUAAAGGGCGUGUAGGCGGGACGACAAGUCAGAUGUGAAAUACCGGGGCUCAACUCCGGGGCUGCAUUUGAAACUGCCGUUCUUGAGUGAUGGAGAGGGAAGCGGAAUUCCUAGUGUAGCGGUGAAAUGCGUAGAUAUUAGGAGGAACACCAGUGGCGAAGGCGGCUUUCUGGACAUUUACUGACGCUGAGGCGCGAAAGCGUGGGGAGCAAACAGGAUUAGAUACCCUGGUAGUCCACGCUGUAAACGAUGAUUACUAGGUGUGGGAGGUAUCGACUCCUUCCGUGCCGGAGUUAACACAAUAAGUAAUCCACCUGGGGAGUACGGCCGCAAGGUUGAAACUUAAAGGAAUUGACGGGG
rnacentral:rRNA from 1 species